rnacentral:rRNA from 1 species
UACAGAGGUCUCAAGCGUUGUUCGGAUUCAUUGGGCGUAAAGGGUGCGUAGGCGGCGCGGUAAGUCGGGUGUGAAAUCUUGGAGCUUAACUCCGAAACUGCAUUCGAUACUGCCGUGCUUGAGGACUGGAGAGGAGACUGGAAUUUACGGUGUAGCGGUGAAAUGCGUAGAUAUCGUAAGGAAGACCAGUGGCGAAGGCGGGUCUCUGGACAGUUCCUGACGUGAGGCACGAAGGCCAGGGGAGCAAACGGGAUA